GUUCAGACAUCUUAGGGAAUCAUUUCCCAAGCCCUUUAGCAAAGACUAUAUGUAAAUCAAUAAUCAGCUGGAGUAUUUACUUAUUAAAGCAGUUGGUUUUCAGCUUUCUUUUUAUUUAUUUACUUUUUUAGACAGGGAAGUUUUUUUUAAGUCUUGGACAAAGCAGAAGAAAGGGGAGUUCUCUGAGGCGAAAGUGGGCUGUGGGACCGUGCAUGCUCAGAUGUCCUUUUCUAUCUUAUCCCUCUUUCAGGGCCGGCGCUGGCCCCCCAAGCACCUCUGCAGAGACCCGGGAUGCCAGGGAGGCCCAUUUACAAGCCAGCAAUUCCAAAGAGUUUCCCAAGCACUCUGCCGUGGAUCAUAAUGUACAUAACGGCUCUUCACGUGGACGUGUUGCCAGCUCAACCUCCUUAUAAGAAUUCGGGAUGCGUUACAGAAACACGGCUCUCCAAAACUUCGCGUUCCUUUAAAAUUUCAUUCUGAGGAGUAGUCAUGAGGCCUGCUCUCGCCACGGCCAAGUCCACCACAUUAAAGCAAAUGAAAACCUAACUCAGAUGAUUCAUAUAAAAUUAGUCUUUCCAUAACCUUUUAUAUUAUCAAAGUGCUUUGCCCCUCUGGUGUUGGUCUGUGUAAACCAAGUGAUUCAGCCAGCCAAAACAUCAAGGAGAAAGAUCCCACCAGGCUUUGAUUGAAUUACAUAGUCCAUUUUGUUGUUGUUGUUGGCCAUUGCUGAAGUUUUCGUAUGAAAUUAAAAUGAAAGAGCCUACCCCUCCCAGCUAACAUCUCUGUAAGAAAAUCAUUGGCCGGCCUUUGUUCUCCUCCCCUCUGUAGAGUGAAGGACCAAGCCCUCCCAUUUGGUUGCAAGGUGGCACAUUUGAGAGCUUUGUCCCAAGAUACAAGGUAACCCAAAGAGUAGGUCUUCAGCUUGGGUUCUCCCAGCAGCAGACCCUGAGGCAAGAAUUUGAGUGUAAGCGACCCUGGGUGGCUCAGUCAGUGAAACCUCUGACUUCAGCUCAGGUCACCAUCGCGUGGUGCGUGUUUUCAAGAUAUACAUCAGGCUCUCUGCUGUCAGCGAAGAGCUUGCUUCAGAUCCCUUCUCUCCCUCUCUCACUGCCCCUCUCCCCCU
rnacentral:lncRNA from 1 species